UACGAAGGGGGGCUAGCGUUGUUCGGAAUUACUGGGCGUAAAGCGCACGUAGGCGGACUAUUAAGUCAGGGGUGAAAUCCCGGGGCUCAACCCCGGAACUGCCUUUGAUACUGGCAAUCUCGAGUCCGAGAGAGGUGAGUGGAAUUCCGAGUGUAGAGGUGAAAUUCGUAGAUAUUCGGAGGAACACCAGUGGCGAAGGCGGCUCACUGGCUCGGUACUGACGCUGAGGUGCGAAAGCGUGGGGAGCAAACAGG
rnacentral:rRNA from 1 species